UCCUCAGUAGCUCAGUGGUAGAGCGUCGGCUGUUAACUGACUGUCGUAGGUUCGAAUCCUAC
rnacentral:tRNA from 1 species